CGGAACACGUACGCAACUUUCCUUUAAGCGGGGAAUAGCCCAGAGAAAUUUGGAUUAAUACCCCAUAGUAUAAUGAAGAAGCAUUUCUUUAUUAUUAAAGAUUUAUCACUUGAAGAUGGGCGUGCGGCUGAUUAGGUAGUUGGCGGGGUAACGGCCCACCAAGCCUACGAUCAGUAGCUGAUGUGAGAGCAUGAUCAGCCACACGGGCACUGAGACACGGGCCCG
rnacentral:rRNA from 1 species